AAGCCACCCAGAGUGGCUGGUGUAACUCAGUCAGAUGGGUGAGAUAUUAUUAUUAUUAUUAUUAUUAUUAUUAUAAUAUCUCACCCAUCUGACUGAGUUACACCAGCCACUCUGGGUGGCUU